rnacentral:lncRNA from 1 species
GCUAUAUAGAUGAUGUUCUUUCACUAAAUAAUUCAAAAUUUGUUGACUAUGUUGAACGCAUCUAUCCCAUUGAACUAGAGAUAAAGGAUACAACAGAUACAGUUAAGUCGGCCUCAUAUCUUGACUUACAUCUAGAAAUUGACAAUGAGGGUCGAUUGAAAACAAAACUUUACGACAAAAGAGAUGAUUUCAGCUUUCCAAUUGUG